CCUACGGGAGGCAGCAGUGAGGAAUAUUGGUCAAUGGUCGGGAGACUGAACCAGCCAAGCCGCGUGAGGGAGGAAGGUACAGAGUAUCGUAAACCUCUUUUGUCAGGGAACAAAGACUGGGACGCGUCACCGGAGGAGUGUACCUGAAGAAAAAGCAUCGGCUAACUCGGUGCCAGCAGCCGAGGUAAUACGGGGGAUGCGAGCGUUAUCCGGAUUGAUUGGGUUAAAGGGGUGCGCAGGCGGCCUGUUAAGUCAGCGGUCAAAGCCCGGGGCUCAACCCCGGCCCGCCGUUGAAACUGGCAGGCUUGAGUUGGAGAGAAGGAGGUGGAAUGCCCGGUGUAGCGGUGAAAUGCAUAGAGAUCGCGCAGAACUCCGAUUGCGAAGGCAGCAUGCCGGCUCCACACUGACGCUGAGGUACGAAAGCGUGGGUAGCGAACAGGAUUAGAUACCCGGGUAGUC
rnacentral:rRNA from 1 species